rnacentral:rRNA from 1 species
AUUGAACGCUGGCGGCAGGCUUAACACAUGCAAGUCGAGCGGUAACAGAGAGAAUCUUGCUUCUCUUCUGACGAGCGGCGGGCGGGUGAGUCAUGCCUAGUAAUCUGCCUAGUAGUGGGGGAUAACUUGCCGAAAGGUAAGCUAAUACCGCAUACGUCCUACUGGAUAAAGGAGUGGACCUUCUGUCCUUUCGCUAUUAGAUGAGCCUAGGUCGGAUUAGUUAGUUGGUGAGGUAAUGGCUUACCAAGACCGCGAUCCGUAACUGGUCUGAGAGGAUGAUAAGCCACACUGGAACUGAGACACGGUCAAGACUACUAAGGGAGGCAGCAGUGGGGAAUAGGAGGCAAUGGGGGGAAACAUGAUACAGCCAGGGCGAGUGUGUGAAGAAGGUCUUAGGAGUGUAAAGAAGUUUAAGUUGGGAGGAAGAGCAGUUAACAAAUAUUAGACUGUAUUGACGGUACCGACAGAAUAAGCACCGGCUAACUUCGUG